AGAGUUUGAUCCUGGCUCAGGAUGAACGCUAGCGACAGGCCUAACACAUGCAAGUCGAGGGGCAACAUGGUAUCAGCUUGCUGAUACUGAUGGCGACCGGCGCACGGGUGAGUAACGCGUAUGUAAUCUACCUGUAACAGAGGGAUAACCCGGAGAAAUCCGGACUAAUACCUCAUAGCACAUAUUAUUCGCAUGAAUUUUAUGUUAAAGAGACUCGGUUACAGAUGAACAUGCGUUCCAUUAGCUAGUUGGCGGGGUUACGGCCCACCAAGGCAACGAUGGAUAGGGGUUCUGAGAGGAAGGUCCCCCACACUGGUACUGAGACACGGACCAGACUCCUACGGGAGGCAGCAGUGAGGAAUAUUGGUCAAUGGGCGAAAGCCUGAACCAGCCAAGUCGCGUGGAGGAAGACGGCCCUACGGGUUGUAAACUCCUUUUACCUGGGAAUAACGGGCGCUACGUGUAGCGCUGUGCAAGUACCGGGAGAAUAAGCAUCGGCUAAUUCCGUGCCAGCAGCCGCGGUAAUACGGAAGAUGCGAGCGUUAUCCGGAUUUAUUGGGUUUAAAGGGUGCGUAGGCGGAAGAAUAAGUCAGCGGUGAAAUGCUUCAGCUCAACUGGAGAAUUGCCGAUGAAACUGUUUUUCUAGAGUAUAAAAGAGGUAUGCGGAAUGCGUGGUGUAGCGGUGAAAUGCAUAGAUAUCACGCAGAACCCCGAUUGCGAAGGCAGCAUACUGGGCUAUAACUGACGCUGAAGCACGAAAGCGUGGGUAUCGAACAGGAUUAGAUACCCUGGUAGUCCACGCCGUAAACGAUGAAUACUAACUGUUUGCGAUAUAAUGUAAGCGGUACAGCGAAAGCGUUAAGUAUUCCACCUGGGGAGUACGCCGGCAACGGUGAAACU
rnacentral:rRNA from 1 species